rnacentral:rRNA from 1 species
GAUGAACGCUGGCGGCGUGCCUAAUACAUGCAAGUCGAGCGAACAGACGAGGAGCUUGCUCCUUUGACGUUAGCGGCGGACGGGUGAGUAACACGUGGAUAACCUACCUAUAAGACUGGGAUAACUUCGGGAAACCGGAGCUAAUACCGGAUAACAUGUUGAACCGCAUGGUUCAACAGUGAAAGACGGUCUUGCUGUCACUUAUAGAUGGAUCCGCGCCGCAUUAGCUAGUUGGUAAGGUAACGGCUUACCAAGGCAACGAUGCGUAGCCGACCUGAGAGGGUGAUCGGCCACACUGGAACUGAGACACGGUCCAGACUCCUACGGGAGGCAGCAGUAGGGAAUCUUCCGCAAUGGGCGAAAGCCUGACGGAGCAACGCCGCGUGAGUGAAGAAGGUCUUCGGAUCGUAAAACUCUGUUAUUAGGGAAGAACAAAUGUGCAAGUAACUAUGCACGUCUUGACGGUACCUAAUCAGAAAGCCACGGCUAACUACGUGCCAGCAGCCGCGGUAAUACGUAGGUGGCAAGCGUUAUCCGGAAUUAUUGGGCGUAAAGCGCGCGUAGGCGGUUUUUUAAGUCUGAUGUGAAAGCCCACGGCUCAACCGUGGAGGGUCAUUGGAAACUGGAAAACUUGAGUGCAGAAGAGGAAAGUGGAAUUCCAUGUGUAGCGGUGAAAUGCGCAGAGAUAUGGAGGAACACCAGUGGCGAAGGCGACUUUCUGGUCUGUAACUGACGCUGAUGUGCGAAAGCGUGGGGAUCAAACAGGAUUAGAUACCCUGGUAGUCCACGCCGUAAACGAUGAGUGCUGAGUGUUAGGGGGUUUCCGCCCCUUAGUGCUGCAGCUAACGCAUUAAGCACUCCGCCUGGGGAGUACGACCGCAAGGUUGGAACUCAAAGGAAUUGACGGGGACCCGCACAAGCGGUGGAGCAUGUGGUUUAAUUCGAAGCAACGCGAAGAACCUUACCAAAUCUUGACAUCCUCUGACCCCUCUAGAGAUAGAGUUUUCCCCUUCGGGGGACAGAGUGACAGGUGGUGCAUGGUUGUCGUCAGCUCGUGUCGUGAGAUGUUGGGUUAAGUCCCGCAACGAGCGCAACCCUUAAGCUUAGUUGCCAUCAUUAAGUUGGGCACUCUAAGUUGACUGCCGGUGACAAACCGGAGGAAGGUGGGGAUGACGUCAAAUCAUCAUGCCCCUUAUGAUUUGGGCUACACACGUGCUACAAUGGACAAUACAAAGGGUAGCGAAACCGCGAGGUCAAGCAAAUCCCAUAAAGUUGUUCUCAGUUCGGAUUGUAGUCUGCAACUCGACUACAUGAAGCUGGAAUCGCUAGUAAUCGUAGAUCAGCAUGCUACGGUGAAUACGUUCCCGGGUCU